ACGUUAAUAGCGUAUUCGUUUGACGUUAGCGACAGAAGAAAGCACCGGCUAACUCCGUGCCAGCAGCCGCGGUAAUACGGAGGGUGCGAGCGUUAAUCGGAAUUACUGGGCGUAAAGCGCAUGCAGGUGGUUUGUUAAGUCAGAUGUGAAAGACCCGGGGCGUCAACCUCGGAAUAGCAUUUGUAAACUAGGCAGACUAGAGUACUGUAGAGGGGGGUAGGAAUUUCAGGUGUAGCGGUGAAAUGCGUAGAGAUCUGAAGGAAUACCGGUGGCGAAGGCGGCCCCCUCGGACAGAUACUGACACUCAGAUGCGAAAGCGUGGGGAGCAAACAGGAUUAGAUACCCUGGUAG
rnacentral:rRNA from 1 species